UCUCUAAUGAUGUUUGACACAGUGACUUUCGUUCUUCUGAAAUCUACUGAAGACUCACUUUCUGUCCUGAAUGGA